rnacentral:lncRNA from 1 species
UAACCUAUAAAGCAGAAUUUGGAUGAGAAGAUAUAAGAAAAGAAAAUGCAUAACCAGAGGCGGUAUCAGACACGAAAGUUCCUCCAUGAAUUUUGAAGUAAUAAGGUGUGAUAGGUCUUGCUCGUUGGGCCGUUUCGCUUCCAGAAAUGUAUAAUAAUAGUCAUUCGGACACCGAACGUCAAAUCUGCAGCAAACCGGGUUUGGACCUGCAACGAUCGAUUUGUUCCUCGAUUUGUUCUGCCAUCCGUCCUACAUCAUAGUCAUAUUCCAACUACAUAUCCUGAUUGCAUAAGGUUAAGACACACAUAUGAAAUAUCCUAUAACAAUACCAAAAUUUAAUACCAAAUUACGUGGUAUCCUACGGCCUAGGUUGCACGGACACGGACACGGCGACACGACACGGCGCGACAUGCCGAAACGGCAAAACUUAAAAACUGAGUUUUCGAUACGGCUUGGACACGGCAAACAAAAUUAUAUAUUUAUGUAUUUUUAAUAAAUAAAAAAUAUACUAAAAUAUGAAAUAAGUUCAUUACAUUACCAAAUAAAGUUCUAAAUUCAAUCUAUUUCAUAACCAUAAGAAAUAAGUCAAGUGCAUAACUAAUAACAUUAAAAACAGUAGACCUCUAGUACCUAAAGUAUAACAUUAAAGAAAAACAAACUUGAGCAGUAGCUUGUUUGCAAACAAGGCAAUCUAUAGCACAGUAGCACCUAAUAGACAAGAAGAUGAACUAAUAAUAAUUAUCAUAUCCAUAAUCCAUCCAAACUUUUUAUUCCAGAAUUGAUAUAAUAUAAAAUGAACAGAAAAUUUACCUCUCAUCUUCAAGACUCCAUCUGGUGAAGAGAUGAUCUAGAAGAGUCGGCAGAGAGAGGAGAGAAGAGAAUCAGUCAAGAGAUCGAAUGCCCGUCUCUCCUGCGUGUGCCCUAGUUAGGUAAUUUUUUUUAAAAGUCUGAAACGCUGACGUGGAGUGUCGCAAUGCCGUGUUGUAGCCGGUCAACGUGUCCACGACGUGUCCGAAAAGUCAACUUUUUCGGACACGGAUUUUGCCGUGUCGGGCGCGUGUCGGCGUGUCGGAAGUGUCAGACACUUCGACACUCCAGGAGUUUGGAGUAUCGGUGCAACAUAAGCUACGGCAUAUACACGUCAUCACACUCAAUUGAAAAUUUUCAGCAUAUAUAGUUUUCUUAAUUAAUAAAUAAUCGUAAAAAUCUAAUAAUAAUAAUACUUAGUUUCCUCAUGUGAAUGAAAUACGUGAUGGGAUUAACCUAGAGCUAGAAGACUAAUCAUCAAACACAUCCAAGAAUACGCAGCCGUAGUUCUUGUUUUUUUCUUUUUUUUUUAAAAAAAAAACUACAAGGAAUAGAUAUUUCAAUGGAAGAAAACGUUGAGAAUGAGAUGGAUGUUGCAUAUGAGGAAGAAGAUAUAAACUGUGGGAAUGAAGUGAUAAGUGCAAGUAGUCAUGUAGAAGAAAGUAUUGAUACAAUUGAGAGUGAAAAUGUGAAAGAAAGGGUAAAGGAGACAGAGAUUGGACUAGUCUUUGAUUCAAUUGAUGAGUUGGAGAAAUAUUAUAAAUCAUAUGGUAAAGGAAUAGGCUUUGAAGUUUGUAAAAGAACGUCAAGCAGAGGAGAUGAUGGGGAAUUGAAGUACAUAACAUUCACAUGUUCACGUUUUGACAAGCCUAAUAGCAAGUCAUGACAUGCAUUUAAAUUUCGACCAGUUACAAAAUCAGACUGCAACACUAAACUCGAUGCAAAUUUACUCCCAGAUGGAAAAUGGGUAGUGUCCUCCAUUGUGCUUGGACAUAUUCAUAAUCUUAGUACUCCAAGCAAAGACAGUAUUAUAAAACCGAAAGAGAUUUGCCGUCACGUGUUAAGAAGAGGUUAGCAACAAAUGAUAUAGCUGGAGUAAUUCACAGGUUCAGUUCAGCAAGGCAUGGUUAUGGCUUGCAACUAUGUUUGAUACUCAUAUUUUCCCAAGGUUCACUACAUGUACACACUUAAUCGAUACGUAUCUGCUUUCCUUUCUUUGACUACAAAGAUUUGAUCAAAUGGAAAUGGAUGAAGAUGUCCAGAAAAUGCAGUAGAACAUCAAGCCAACCUGCAUGAUUAAAGAUCGAGUACACGUAUUUUAGGAUGUUUAGAUAGUAAUUGUUUUGAACCACAAGAUGACAACUUCAACCGCUUGAACGAGUCUGAGAUUAUCAAAAUUUUCCCUGCUCCUUUCUCUAGAUGUUCUCUUGAACAAUAUCAUUAACGAUUCAACCCAAGAGAUGCUUUUCCUUAACCUGAACAACCAUUCGAAGACUUUCUGGUGCCUUUCUCCCUCGAUGAUUUUGUUCCUUUUCUCGUCUUCGGAAAAGCUCUAUUCUUUCGUCCCUAAAAUAGUGUACUUGGGAAGUUGGGUAUUCCUUAAGAGGACACUAAAUUAAUAAUUAAUAUAUGAAAAUAAAUUUUGUGAAUUUUGUUUUAGAAUUUUAUUCAAAAUCAAAUAGGUUAAUAAAAAUACAUGGUGGAAAAUAUUAGGUUUAAAAUGAUGAUGUGGCAUACACAUUUGGUAUAGAGUUUUUAUAUGAAUUUUUGGUGUCUCCAGCAUUUUCCUAGAAGAUAUUAGGUUUAAAAUGAUGUGCCACAUCUUUAGUAUAGAGUUUUUGUAUGAAUUUUUGGUGUCUCUAGCAUUUUCCUUACCAGAAACAACUACCACAGUAGCUUCUGCUAUUGAAUUCCUGGCAAAUCCUCGUUUCUGUUCUACUUCCUAAAGUGGUAGAGAAGGAGACGAGAACAGCCUUGUUUACCAGUUGCAGCUUUGCCUGGACUUAUCAGCCAAAAGUAAUCCCCUCCCACAAUUUGCUUGCUCAAUCUUCACUCGAAAAUGGAGCUUGUAGCACGAAAUCUGAAGCGAGUUCAAGAGAAUAUGGUGUGCGGAGAAGCUGGAAAGGUCUCUGGAAUCUUGAAGAGAAGAUCAGUGGUACUGUCUGGAGCUUCUUUGGUUUCUUCUGCGGUGUUGGGUUCUCCAGGAGAUGGCUUGGCCGUGAUUAAGCAGGGUCUUCUGGCAGGACGGGUUCCUGGUCUGUCUGAACUCUGAACCAGAUGAACAAGGUUGGUAUCCUUCAAUCCCUGCAUGUAUUAAACUCACUGAGAAUUGGAAACCUUCAAACUACAUUUGCGUUUUGCUCUAUAAAGUGUAUAUGCCUAUAUGGUCUCCAUUGGAUGAGUGUAUGCUUAGACAGGUUGGAGGACAUACCGCAGACCAGAUGAGAAGUCCGGAGGGCACGGCGUUGUUUGGAGCCCUAUCAUCCCUUAUCUCUUCUCUGUUCCUCAAGGUUGGGAAGAGGUGAUAAUCUAACCUACCAUGUAGAAAGAAUAUAUCAGUUAGUUGGUACAUUAAUUAAAGUUAUGUUGCUAAACCAAGUAAAGAUUCCAAAACACGAGUUUCCUUGUCACACAACGUUUAAAAGUUAAAACCAAUGUAUAAAACUGCCCUCAUUUUACAUACCUGUCUAUUUUUACCAUGGAACAGGUUCCAGUAUCAAUAGCUGAUCUUGGUGGAACAGAGAUUGACCUGAGAUUUGGUAGCGCCAACGAGGGACGCCUGUCGGUCAUUCUUGCUCCUGUUCUGAGAUUUUUGGAUAGUGAGUUUUGACACAAUUAUGUGAUGCAUUCCCCAUUAUCUCUAGAUAUUGGUAGCUUAACUUUGGUUUUUAUGCAACAGAUUUCGAUGGAGAUGCAACAAUUGAAAAAAUUGGCCGACCAGAGACGGUGAUCAAUGCAUUUGGACCUGAAGUUAUAGGGGAAAAUGUGGAAGGGAAGGUUAUGAGCAUCAAUGUCGUUCAAGAUUCUGGAAGAACAUAUUACCAGUAUGAGUUGGAGCCACCUUAUGUUCUGAUCACAGAAACUUGCAGCAGGAAUCUUCUGUACUUGUUUAAUGUAACUGGAAGUGGUAAACAUACUCUACUCCGACAUGCUUCAACAUAAAACAAAUAACUAAAUGAUACCAUAACUUGAGACAGUAACUAAACUGCUUUGGAUUUUGUAGGUCUUCAAUGGAAGAGGCAUUACAAAGAUUUGAAGAAGAUAGCAGACUCCUUUCGUCAGUUUCGUGUAGUCUAACUGAGUUUUUGUAAGACGAGAUAGGGAAUUAUAUUGUGCUUUGUUUUCAUACUUGUAGUGCCAUUCCAGUUAUACCCGAUGGCUAUACAUCCCAGAUUGACUGCUUGACCUUUUCUUUUAUUAAUCAACUGUUGAGCUUGACAUUCUGUGGAAUUAUCUGCACAGCAAACUCUUUCAUCACCAAAUCCCAUGCAUUGUACUUUUACGUGGUGUAAAUCAAUCUCUUAUGCCACCCUAGUGCUUCAUGGCUUCUGUUGUCACAUUUGUAUUUUGACAUCCCUACAUAAAACGAGUCGAAUAGAAUGCAAUUCUAAUUAUAUUGGAAUUCUUUAAAUAUCUUAUUGAUAUUUUGGUAUACUGAUAUACAUUCCUUGAUAGCUUGAUUGAUGCAGGACUUAUGUGAGAAUUAAUUCUGAUAUAAUUGAGCGUGAUGUGCAAGGGAAGAAGACUAUGUUGAUUCAAAUCAUUCAAUAUCAAAUUAUAUUCUCAUAGAUAUUUGAUUUAUAUCUCUUGCAUCUAUUUGGGAUAAAGUGGUACUAAUUAAUUUUCCUGAUUGGAUAUUGAUUAGGUGAUAGAGUGUUGCUAUUAGCAUGAGUAUGGUUUUUGUACAUGAAUGCCAAAUGGGGAGAUUGUUAGUAUAUAUUUAUGUUGGCAUUCUUAUACAAAAUGCUAGGAUGCCUUGCAUGUACAUUCAUGUGUUCCCUAGUUGGAUAUGAUAAUUUCAAUCACUAAUUCCGAUUUAGUUGGAUUAGAAUUAUCUUAUAUAACUAGCCUGUUACUUUGGAAAUAAGUCUUACUUUGAUUAGGACUUGUAUGUGUGGGAAAAUAAGGAAACCUAUUAUGAUUAGGUUUUAUGUGCAUGAAUAUCUGAUUGAACUUCCUUAUUAAUUCUGAUUUGAUUAGUAUUAAUAUUGGAUUUAAAUUCUCCUAUAUUUUGCUAUGCUAAUAAGUAAGGAAAGAAGUUCUAAUGUGAUUAGAAAUUCUUUCAUUUACUAUCAGAUUGUGAUAUCAAGAUUUAUAUUUAUCUUGUGUAUUCUUUUGACAGGAUAUUGCAUUGAAGAGAGCAAAAUCAAAGUGAUAAAGAAUUUGUCAAGGAUUGAAAGAGGAUUGAAGAUUCACGGAUCUGAUCUCAAUCAAGAUAAAUCACUAUCCAUAGCAUUCAUGAUUUUCUAAUUAUGUUCUAUGUGAUUACAUGCUGCAUUAAAUGAGUUUCUCAAAUAAAAGAUAUAUUUGUCAAUAAUUGAUUUGUUUUAAACUCUGAUACAUUUGUUUUGGAAAAUAUCUUAUCUGCCUAAAAUGACUUUGGUUUAAAUUGGAAAAUUGUGUUUUCCCAAAUUAUAGCAGAUUAGUUGAUUGAUAUUUUUCCAUAUCAAAACAAAGUGAUAGUUGACAUAUUGAUGUGAUUCUCUUAAACAAAUCAUUAUGUGUUGAUGUGCAUUAACUGAGGGGGAGAAGUCUCUUCUCUAUUAAUAGGUUUUUGAGAAACUGAAAACUAGAGAUUUUUGGAGUAUAGAAAAAGCUUUGAUACAUUGCUUCUGAGUUGAUAUUGUGUUCAUGCUAUUUCUCUCAUCUCUCACAUGUUUGAUAUGAUCUUCAUUAUUCAUUUGCAUAAGUGAUUGAGAUCAGUGAAGUUGAGAAGAAAAUAUAGGUUUGGUGAAUGUGUGCUCUAGAGAUUUUGUGUGAACAAAUAUUCAGAUCAUAGUAUAGUCAUGUGUGGCAAGAGACCUUCGUGGCUCCAUUGAAGACCUUUGUGGCUCCAUUGAAGACCUUCGUGGCUUCAAGUCCUUCGUGGCAUUUCAAGACCUUCGUGGCUUCAACGACCUCCGUGGCGUUAUCGUCCUUCGUGGCAACAAAGACCUUCGUGGCUUUGUAUAACACUUGACCGUGUUCUUCAAGUGUGAAGUAAUUUUACUUUUGAGAAUUUAUUACUUUUGAUCAUGUGUUGUCAAGUAAUUGUAACCUUCUAUUCAAUAGUAAAGUAAAGUUCUUCUAUAUAAUCCGCUGCUUAUCUCAUAAUCGUUCUAUCUGGUAUAGCCACUAAUAGUUUCAUGGUAAGCGUUGUACUCACCGCUUGCUGAUUGGAGUUAGUAAUUGAUCGACUCAACACAGAGCAUGAUUUACCCUGAAAGGCAUCCAAGCUAUGUGCCACAGGGCAUAAAUGCACUGCGGGCAGGUGUCUUUUCAAAGCCUUCGUUUACCAAGUCCAUUCUCGUCCUCUCAGCUUUUUCCCAUCUAUCAGAAGCAGCAUAAAUAUUUGACAGAAGCACAUAAUGUGAAUUAUCGGCUGACCGAAUGCUUGAAUUUAGCGUGCUAAUAUCUUUUGCUACCUGUUCUGUCAUUUCCAUAUCCAUAUAAAUCCGGCAAGCUCCAAGCGUUGCUCCCCAAACCAUGUCAUUGGGUUUGAUGGGCAUAUUUUUGACUAAAGAGUAAGUCACUCUCUUAACCUUCCAGCCCGUCCCAAUAGGUCAACUAAGCACCCAUAAUGCUUAAUUUUGGCUUCCAAACCAUAUUUCUUCUGCAUCUUGGAGAAAAUUUCCAUGCCUUCAUCUACUAAACCUCCAUGCGCACAAGCUGACAGAACAGCAAGAAAGGUAAUCUCAUCAGGCUUUUCAUUUGAAUCCCCCAUUCUGCUAAACAAUUCAAGAGCCUCCUUGCACUGUCCAUGAAUAGCCAUGCUUGAAAUCAUAGCAUUCCAACAAGCACUGUUCCUCUCAGUCAUCUCCUCAAAAAUCAACCUUGCAUUGAUCAAGUCGCCACAUUUUGCAUACAUGUCUACAAGAGCAUUGUGAACAAUCUGAUUAAGCCUGUUAUGACUUAACAUGUUAUGUAUAUCCUUGCCAACAUCUAAUAGCCCAGACUGAGAACAAGCAGAUAAGACACUCACAACAGUAAACUCAUCUGGCUCAAAGCCUUCAGCUUGCAUGUUCUCAAAUGCUUUCAAAGCUUCCUCACAAAAUCCAUUUUGCGCAUAUCCAGACAUCAUCGAAUUCCAAUUUACCAAGUUCCGGACUGGGAUUCUAUCAAAUAUCGUCUUAGCCUCCUCAACAUCACCUAUCUUGAAAUACCCAGAAAUCAUUGACGACCAAACAAAGAAGUUGCGCUGGGGCAUUGCUUCGAAAAGUUCCCUUGCCAUCUCCAUCUGCCCAUUGCUACAAUAUCCAUCAACCAUCACAGUCCACGUAAUCACAUUCUUCAACUCCGGUGGAACCUGAUCAAACAACCUCCUAGCACUAACAGUAUCUCCAGUCCUCGCAAACCCACUAAUCAUCUCAACCCAAGUCACAUACGUCCGCAAUGACAUCUUCUCUGUUGGAACUUGUGUGGUAUUAAUCCCACGUUGAAGAAGAAUUAAAUGUGUGAGUCUUUGUAUGGAAACACUUAUGUAACUCAUUAAAUGGAUGAUAUGCCUAAUAUAGGUUUGGUAGGCUUUCUAUUGGGUUUUUCAAUAUAAAUAAAUAAAUAUAUAAUAUAUAUUUAAUAUAUAAUUAUAAAUUUAAUUAUAUAUAUUUAAUAAAAGCCAAAGAUUGGGCUCCGUUGAUUAAAUCCGAAUUUAAUUUUUUAGAAAUUAAUAUUAUUUAAUUUAAUUAUUAAUUCGGAUAAAUAUUAAAAAGACAUAAUUGUCCGAACAGUUACAACUGUCCGAGCAGUUGUGUCUGUCCGAACAGUUAUACCUGUUCAAAUUGACUUUUAUAUAAAAACGACUUAUGUCGUUGUUUUUCGAUCGAAUCAUUCUUCUUCUUCCUUCCCAAAACUAUUUCUUCUGAAGCAUAAAGUAAAUUCGCCAGGGUGCAAGAACUUGAACCAGAUAGUUGUAUCAUCUAGAUAGACGUCUGAAACUGCAGCACAAGCGGGAACAGAUUUCUAUCUUAUGUCACUGUACGGCAGGUCUUUAUCUGAUCAAUCAAGUUAGUAUUUUUUAGUUAUUUUGUUAUUAUUUUCAAUUUCGUUGUUAUAUAUAUAUACUGUUUUUAAGCGGAUAUUGGAUUGGUUCUAACAUUCUCAAACAAAGACAAUGCAGAUGCUGCAUCCCCAUUUCUCCAGUACCCACCAAUCGUGGCAUUCCAACUUACCACAUUUCUCUCAGGCAUAUAUAAUCAAACACUUUCCGAGACUCAAUAAUGAUUAAUGUCCCCGCAUUUCGCAUACAUGUCAACUAAUGAGGUGCCAACCGAUACAUCACAAAUCUGUAAUAUUAGAUAAGAACUAGUCUUAUAUAUAUGCAUAUCAGCAAAUGAAUUUUAUGAACUUAAAUACUGUACUACUUUGUAAAGCUGCAUACAUAUAUAUAGUCAAUAUUAUCGAAUUGAUAUAAUGCAGUUGAGUUUGUUUAGAAUUUGAAAUUCAAAGUAUAAAACAUCAAGACAAAGGAUAAGAUUAAGACAAGAAGUUGUGGCAGUUCCUUGAUGGAAGGAACCGACAAAUAACUGACAAUGAGCAGUUGAGAAUUGCUCCAUUUAAGCCUUUCGAUCCCUGCUAGAACACUACACAUUCUCAUUCAUAUUUGUCCCAUCAAGCAAAAUAAGAGAGUAUACAGAAGUGAAUCUAGGAGAAGAUUGAUAUGGAUCCUGACAUGAAUUCCUACAAUGCUGCUGCAAGUUAGUCUUUAAACUUAUAUACAUUUGAUCCAUUAUUUAGCAUAGCUUAGUUAAAUCUUCAUGUAUGUAUAAUAUUGAAUCUAACAAAAUCACACCAGACUUGAUACACUGCGUGCAUCAAUUUCCCAUGCUUUAUUGACGGAAGCGAUGCACAAGCCUUGAGAAUCAAAGGGAGUACACCCCAAGUGUAGAUGCCUUUUCGACGAAAUUGGGUGUAGACUAGAAGCGCUUGUCGAGGUGAUCCUUGAGAGAGCACAGGAAGAGCCGGGAUUUCGUUCCUGGUGUGACGAACUUCCAAAGUCUCUCUCUCGCUGUUUUGGCCACGAUCCUCAGCAGGGGUAGAGAGGUAACUUGUGCUACCAAAAGUAAAUUAGGGUUUGCAGGGCGUGCCACCGCGCGGACGCGGAAACGAGAACGGUGCGCGUUCUUGACUUCCAACCAGGCGAAGUAGAGCUCCGGUGUCACCUCGCGGGCGAGGAAUUACGAGCAAACUAUCUAGUCACCUGUGAAUCGAUACUCACUGUUCGAAGCGAGCAGAGCAACAAUUAGGAAGGGGAGGCGAGUCCAGAUGGGCUCUGAGAACUAAGGCGGGGUGCACUUAGAACUUAGGGUACGAGGAUGCUCGAAGAUUUGUAUUUGUUUUGUAUGAUUGAUUGUGUGUCUCGUAGAGUUUGCUCGAACUCCUUUAUAUAGAGUUACUUAGGGCCACAUGUAUUGGCCCAAAGCAUGUCAAAGACUUGUAGGAGUCUUCAACGAUAAACGUGGCGUAGGCGAUGUUAAUCACUUGUUGGCCGUGAUUAUCCUUUGGCGAAGUAACUAACUGCCUCUGUCUAGAAGACUUGAGUUAGAACACCUCAUGAUGACUUUAGACGUGUGCUAUUGGAUGCUGUUUCCUUAUCCAAUUGAGACAUUGUAGGGAUAGAUAUUACUGUAUUGUUAUUAUCCCAAAGGCAUCAAAAUUGCCUUAGAAUGCUAACCCUUGAACGUGAAUGUCAUGCAGGCACAAUGAUUGCCUCCUAACACGACUCUCUGGACGUGGAAGUAUGCCCACGCAACCAUAUAUGAUAACUUGACAAGGACAAAAAACCUUACUGACCACAUACUCUAGCAUGCAUGUUCACGUACUGGCUCGAUCAUGCAAUUAAACACUGCUCCAUUCUUUAUUUAAGGGAACGGCGGGAUGCUGGCGAGAUUCCCUUGAGAUGCCAUCGAGAUACUCAUAAGCCAUGCACGGGUCGCGUCAAGAUGUUUAUUAAUUAAAGAAGACAUCACCUCCGAUUACUCAUGCGAGAUUGCUCCUUCAAACAAUUAAAGAUAAUUGCCUCUUAUCUAAUCAUGUUGGCGGCUCACAGUUCACGUCCCUCUCUUAGUACCACACGAAAUCUUCUCAUGUAAAGUCAACUCUGCGCCAACUUCAAUCGAGCUCGCAUGACUUUGUAGGCGAGGUGACCCGCCUCUAGUAAACCCAAUAUUACUCGGGCUCGCCGGUGUGGACCAUGAAUUUAAUCAACAUUCAUUUUAGACAAUUACUGUCCAGUAAAAUAUUAAUUUGGGUGUAAACACUUGCCACAAUUUUGAACUUCCAAGACUUUAUGCUACCAUAACGACAAAAAGAAGUUAGGAAACUAAUUCAAGAGACGACAAUUAAAUCUACUAGCAGUGAUAAGAGGCUUGAGGAACUGAGCGAGCGAGCAUCUUAUUUGCUUGAAAUCGUGAUGAGGAAACGUUGUAUGCAGCGGCCAGAGGUAGAAUUUGUUUUUAUGUGGAAAUGAGUCGAAGCUCGGAUCAUAUUAGGACGUCACCGCCUCAAGUUAGGGAAUGUAUAUCUGGUGGCUAGUGGCGGAUCUAGGAUGAAAAUGCUACCAGGGCUAAUCGUAACACGAAAAGAAAUCAAUGAAACUCAACUCGACGGUGCAAGAAAUUUUUGAAACUUGGGACUAACCAAAAACCCAAGCUUUGGUUGAAUACUUGGAUAUAAUGUAAAGAUGGAUUACUUCAUUAGUGGUGAGCAAGUUUACAGACUUGCAAACCAAAAUUAGCAGAAACUAUACAAAACACAAAGCAGAAACGCAGACCAAAGGGUUGGGUUUGUUCCAGUCUAUGAGAAAUCCAGAAAUGCAAAAACACAAAGCAGAAUAAAUAAAAUGGUUGGGUUCAAAAAUCAGAAUGAUGCUAUUACACAAAUGGUUGAUAGAUAUGCUUCAGUGUGGAUUUAUUCCUAAUGGUAGAUUCUUUGUUUCGAAAACACUGAGUUUAUGUAAACUCAAAGUUGAAUGUUUUGUGUAAAGGCUCUUGAUCUGGUCCCCAGAUACUUCACAAUCUUCUCACCUCCUUCAUAUGCUCAACUCUGCAUGUAGUAUUUUUUUUGGGUUUGAAAUUGUCACCUGGGCUCCAGCCUAGGUAAGCCUAGGGCUGGAUCCGCCCCUAAGUGGUGGUGGACACACGAUUUUUUCUGUGGUGUGAGGGCUAUUUUCAUUUUUUUUUUAAUGAUAUGAAAUAUCAUUCAUCACAAAUAGAUUACAAAGCAUAUCCUUCUACUAUCUUACAUCUUACGUACAAAAGACAGAUAAAAAUAAGCGACUUGUAAGGGACUCCAGCCUCGUUACACGUUAAAGCUCACUAAACCAAACAAGUCUAUAAUAUUAAAAAGCAUAAAUUAUAGCCAACUUAAAAAGUUGAAAAAAUAAAGUUCAACUUUACCACUGAGAGUGAGCUUAUUUGCAAAAGGAAAAAACCUAAAAAGAAAUUAAAAACAGAGAGCGAAUUUAGAGAAUCUCUUUGCCCUUAGAGCUAGGGCUAGGAGGUUUGGGCAUCACUUCAAAACUUGGCUUAUGUUCUUCCUUGUUUGGCUUUGGCUUCGGACGUUCUUGGAUCUGGAUUUGGGGAAAAAAAUUCCAUUGCAGAGCUUCUCCAUCUCCGUCAAAGAAGGUGGAUUAGGAUUGAGGGGUGUCGCAACCAAAUAGGACUAAGAAUCCCAACGUUGCAUACCCGAGAUCUUGGUGACUUUGUCUAUGGAGGACGACGCCAUGGAGGAGAAGAUGUAGGAGGAGCGUGUGGACGAAAUGUUUGCUUUUGCAGAGGAGAAGAUGAAGUCCGAGAUGGAUAUGGUAUUCAUGAUAUGGACGUAUUGAUGAGAGGAAGCCAUGAAGAUCGAUUGCAGGAGGAGGAUUUGGGGUUUGGUGCGAGGCAAAACUCGCUUAAGGUUUAGGUGUGAGCAGUGGCGGACGCAGAGGAUUUGGGCUAUUUUCACUAAACCAACUAUUCAGGCAAAUUAGUUGAAACUCCUCUUAGAAAUGUAUCUAAACGUUGCUCAAUUCAGCCAUAAGAUAUUCAGAAAAUCAUAAUCAAGGGCAAUAGCCCAAAUGCUAAACCAACACAUUACAUAAAUUGAAGAUGAAAGUAACCUCAGUGCCAUACAUCAGAUAGCAGCACUCUAGCCAAAACAAGUAUCUCGAUCAGUAUAUCACAUGGCUAUAUAUAUUACUCCGGCAAAGGCGAGUACACUGUCCAGCCAUAAUUUAAUUACGGCUUUCUCCAAACACCGUCGCUGCUCAAAGUAAAAGGCUCCCUUCCCCAGCUAAGAUGAAAUAUCAUGUCUGAAAAUUUACUAUCCUUUCCCAAUGUGGCACAAGCAAUUGACGUUGAACUACUUAGAAGCAAUACCUGGUGCCCCAAACUUCGUAUCCUAGUCCAUUCUUUUCUUGACCGAUCAAAUUGAUACAAAAACCAGUAGUGGCUACUAGCAUCAUGAGCUAGGUCAGACACUGCCAAUAAUAGCUUCCCAUCGAUCGACUCAACCAAGUAAAAGGUCCUGCUUUCAUUAUGAUCUUCUAUUUCUAUGUAUGUAUAGUUCAUGACCCAGUUCUGAAGUGCUAUAUCGAAGGUACAGAUAAACACUGACGUCGAACCAUUGGAGAAAUUUUUCUGAGGAAAAGUACAAUAGACAAUUCCAUCUACACAAGUAACUCCCGUGACAGAACCGUGAUAUCUAGUUCUGCAAAUACUCCAUCUUGUAUCCCCGAGCUUGCAAGUGUAUAUGAUGCGAUCCGUAUUAUGUCGAUACUUUUUGCAGAGGACAAAGAUAACAAAGUUGGGAGAAGUGGGAGGGGUCGUGAAUGUUGCAAUGUCUACAUAAAGCUCCAUCUCCAAAUCUAACCCGGGCAGUUGUAUAACCUCAUUGCAAAAGGGAUUGUAUAGAUAGUAGUAUUGUUUGCGCACGUAGAGAAAUUGCCGUCUAUACAAAAGGAACCAACCAUAUUUUGACUCACAGGGUCCUGGUUCUGUUCGGUCCAAGUCCCUGACUGUGUAUUUGUAAGUUUCACCCUCCAUGUCUAAGAACUCUACAGAGUUUUUAGACUUAUGUGAUAUCUCGAGCUCUACAGGGUUCUUAGUCGACCUAUGUAUGUGUUUACCAUCAAGAAUACAGGUAUAGCUCAUCAGGUAUGGAACAAGCAAUGUGGAGCGUUGCGGAAGAUGAACCUUAUGUAUGACAAGUCUCCAGGUCUUGCAUACGGCAGCAGAACGAAUAAGAUCCCAAUAUGGGAGACGAUUGACAACUUCGCAUAAUAUAUCACUUGGAAGGUCGGACCAACAAGACUGUUUAUUGUCUGCCAUCUGCAUCCAGUUGUUAUUAGUGUAACUAUUGAAACAUCGCCAUUCUUCUUCUUCUUCUCCUCCUCCUCCUUCUUGUUCUUCUUGAGAAGUCGUUCUCGGCUGGAGGCGAGAGGGGAGAGAGAGCAAUAACAACUUCGAUGAUAUAGUUUGAGAUUUUUCGACAACCGCUCGAACCCAUCCAGAAAUCAUCGUUGUCAUCCCUGGAUAUCUUUCUUUGAAAACCCUAGCUAGCUCAAGCCCUGCGGAAUAGAAAUCAUGGUCCUCGUUAUGCCUAUUCUAUUUAUAUAAUUAUAUUGAAGGGUCGUGUUCCAGCGGAAUUCCACAUUCGGUUGGAGUGGGAGAGUAUAAUCAGCACUAAUAUUAGUUCUCCGCUAAGAUUUAGUUAAUCAGACGAACGAAUCCUAUGUUUAAUUAGAAGGGUUUUGUUUUCUAUUCUUGUUAGAUUUGGACUCUUUAUUUUUUAUUUGCUGAAAUAUAUGAAUUGUUACUCACAAUAUUAUAUCAUUUGGUUGAGAAAAUAGCUUGAGGAAAUAGUUAAUCCGCUUCCGUGCGUCGGUGUGCGUGAUUUUAGUGACAGUGAAAACCAAAUUAUGUUUACUCUAUGCUAAUUGGUAUCUCACAGUUAUCUAUCGGCCAAUGCUUCUAGUUUCAUUCCUGAGUAAGGGCAAUGACAUAGAGCUACUGACUGAUAUUUUACAUGGUCCACAUUUGUAGGACUGUAUGUAUGCAAGAUUGAGUAUUUGUUUAUCAUCUCUAGUUAGAGAAUUGCAUGGUUCGAGAGAUCAAGUUUUUGUUUCCCUCUUUAAUUGUACUACCUUUAUAAUUUUUAAUAAAAUAGGGGGCUGAUUACCCUCUUUUCCAAAAAAAAAAAAAAAAUAACAAACACAGUUAAUUAAGAUAUUUUUUCUUAAAGGCUUCAGACCUAACAUCUAUUUUUUGUAAGAGAAAAUCUUACAUGCCACGUGGACGGUGCGACCCACCAGUCACAGGCCGAUGCGUGGUUUUUUUUUUUUUUCUACAACUCUUCUCCCUUCCUCCCUUCCUCUUCUCCGGUGAAACCGAUCCCCUCUGGCGAAGCUUCAUUUGGAUCUACAAUGACGGGUGACAAGGAUUCGUGGCAGCGGGGUUUACACGGGUUGGUGUAGAGGCGCGGCUCAACGGCGACAGGUUUCUACGAGGCUAUGGCAGGUUGGAGCAGUUAGGCUUAUGGUGGAGGCGGCGGGGGUUCCAGGUUUGAGGCGGCGGUUGAGCAGAGGGAAAGAACAUGCUGUGUUUUUUCGCCAGAAGGGAUCGGUUUCGCCGAAGAAGAGGAAGGGAGGAAGAAGAAGAGUUGGGGAAAAAAAAAAAAAAAAAACACCCGUUGGCCUGUGACUGGUGGGUCGCACCGUCCACGUGGCACGGCCGUCGCACGCAAGAUUUUCUAUUUUUUUAAAGCACAUUUUCUUGAAUUAAUUGAACUAGGGUUGUCGUGCGCCUCUACUAUGCUCGUCAGGCUUCUGGCAUUGUCGGAGGUGGUGAGUGCAGCCGGACGAAUUGUAUAUUGUUGUGAUGAUGGCUUGUCGAAGGAUUGGUUAUGGACUUCUGGCUAGCUAUUGGAAGAGGAUGUUGAUUGUCAUAUUCAAUGAGAGGCGGCUGGAGGGCGCUGCAUUGGUGGUGGUUUCCUCUUGGGGUCAUUUGCAUCUCAAGGCGUUAUUGCAUCACAGGCGGGUCAAGAUCGGGUCGCAGGCCUUGGCUAGAGGUGGGCUACCUAGGUGCCGGCGUUGAACAAAGAGGAUGCAGUACUAUGGAGAACACUAGUAUAUUUGCAAUUCAAGCCGCAAAACACAUGUGACUAAUACGUUAUUUAGUUGCUAAAAGUUUGGCUUUGUUGACCAGUGUUGUGGGAUCUGUCCUGGUCAUAGUGGGAAUCUAUGUUGUACUGUGGGGGAAAAGUAAUGAUGCAAAGGAAAUUGGGAUGAAGCAGACAUAAGCAAAUGAAGAAGGUGCAUAUGUCCCUUGAUAUGGAUUCAAACAUGUAUUAGUUUUUACCUAUAUGCAUGUCGUGUUGUUAAUCGAAACCUAACUUGCAGCCUCUUUAAUUAAUACAAUCCACUUUGCUCACCCCAUAUUUUUUUUACACCUCACUUAUAUAUUUUUAAUACAAUCCACUUUGUUCACCCAUUUAUAAUACUUAAAGUAACCAUUUUCUCAUUUCUACUUUGUUCAUCCUAUAUAUAUAUAUUUUUUCGAUUUCAUAUAUCAUUUUUUUAUAUAAUCAAAAAUCCUUAUCUUCCUCAUCAAAAGUAUGUAGAAAUAUGUUGUAUAUCCCAUAGUUGUGUUUCGGUUCAGGGAUAAUAAGGAGAAGCACAAGAACUUGGAAUUAAUAAGAUUCCUUCUUAAUACAUGGUAUUGAACACUCCAUGUCAUACAACUGCGACAAAGAAUCCAUAUUUAGACUUUACUUAAGUGCCUAAGCAUCGUAUAUAUGUAGUGCUUCAUAUAUAUAUAUAUAUAUANNNNNNNNNNNNNNNNNNNNNNNNNNNNNNNNNNNNNNNNNNNNNNNNNNNNNNNNNNNNNNNNNNNNNNNNNNNNNNNNNNNNNNNNNNNNNNNNNNNNNNNNNNNNNNNNNNNNNNNNNNNNNNNNNNNNNNNNNNNNNNNNNNNNNNNNNNNNNNNNNNNNNNNNNNNNNNNNNNNNNNNNNNNNNNNNNNNNNNNNNNNNNNNNNNNNNNNNNNNNNNNNNNNNNNNNNNNNNNNNNNNNNNNNNNNNNNNNNNNNNNNNNNNNNNNNNNNNNNNNNNNNNNNNNNNNNNNNNNNNNNNNNNNNNNNNNNNNNNNNNNNNNNNNNNNNNNNNNNNNNNNNNNNNNNNNNNNNNNNNNNNNNNNNNNNNNNNNNNNNNNNNNNNNNNNNNNNNNNNNNNNNNNNNNNNNNNNNNNNNNNNNNNNNNNNNNNNNNNNNNNNNNNNNNNNNNNNNNNNNNNNNNNNNNNNNNNNNNNNNNNNNNNNNNNNNNNNNNNNNNNNNNNNNNNNNNNNNNNNNNNNNNNNNNNNNNNNNNNNNNNNNNNNNNNNNNNNNNNNNNNNNNNNNNNNNNNNNNNNNNNNNNNNNNNNNNNNNNNNNNNNNNNNNNNNNNNNNNNNNNNNNNNNNNNNNNNNNNNNNNNNNNNNNNNNNNNNNNNNNNNNNNNNNNNNNNNNNNNNNNNNNNNNNNNNNNNNNNNNNNNNNNNNNNNNNNNNNNNNNNNNNNNNNNNNNNNNUAUAUAUAUAUAUAUACAAGCCGGAUCAGAGGCGCACGUCCGCACCGGCCUUAAAGUGCGGACGUCCCUCCGUUCACCACCGUACGGCGCCAGCGAGGGCGCGCCUUCACCCUAGCAGACUUCAGCAGCGUCCCCGACCACUUUUCCUCCCCGGCGAGUCAGCCGAAUUCCAGUUUUCCGGCCAAAUCACCCAAAACUUCAAACAAAGUCGAUCUGGCCGGAAAACUGAAAUUCGGCAGACUCACCGGGGAUGGAAAGUGGUCGGGAAAGCUGUUGGAGUCCGCUGGGGUGGAGGCGCGCCCUCAUUGGCGCCGUACGGUGGCGAACGGACGGACGUCCGCACUCGAACGACUCCGUGUGUGUGUGUGUAUAUAUAUAUACAGUUCUUAUCCAGAGCGAAGCUUCACUUUGAAAUUAAAGUGUGAAGUUCCUUAUUUGACUCACUUUUCAGUCAUAUUUCCACAUCUCCACCGUUCAGUUUGUAGAACAUAAUGCAUAGAUCACUUCUGCCAAGUUUCAUUGAAUUUGAUGAUCGUUUGGGUUUUCAUAAUCGUUAUUUACACAAACAGUUAUGAAUAGACAAAUUUAUGAUCCGUUCGUUGAUUUAAUCUGAUUCGGUACCUUAACGAUUACCGAAUUGGAUGAAACUUGACAAGAGUGAUCUAUGCAUUAUGUUAUACAAACUGAACUGUGGAGAUGUGGAAAUAUGACCGAAAAAUGAGUCAAAUAAGGAACUUCACACUUUAAUUUCAAAGUGAAGCUUCGCUCUGGAUAGAAACUGUAUAUAUAUAUAUAUAUAUAAGAUCUCUUAAGUAUUUAUUGUAGUUGUGGUAUUACUUGACUUAUUGCAGUUAGGCACAUAUAUAGCUCUAGGUAUCUUCCGUUGUUCUAUAUAUUCUCUAGUUUGGAUAAGAAGAAUAAUACUAUGUAAAUUGACAGAUAAAUCAUUUGGAAGCGAAAUCAGUUGAUUACGCGCGAGUAGUCCAAAUCGACCCAGCAAUAAGUAGAAUGUUUUGGAUAUUGAUCGGAGAAUGUGAUUGAAAUAAAUAAUCAAUCAAAGAGAAAAUGGAACCCUUCCAACAAGUAGUAGGAGUAUGAGAGUAAGACCAAGCAUGUGUUGUAUAAGAGCUAUUCCUAAACAUAUGCGUAAGCGUCUCUGAAUGAGAAUAACAUAAUGCGCAGUUUUUAGAAAUAUGAGAUACGUAACGAGAGAUCAUCAUCUAGUCUUAAGAGGUAGGUAAAGCUUCUCCAAAUUCUAAUUAGUGAUGCGGCUGUAGAAUGUGUACGAUAAUUUAUGUAUUGAAGCCAGGAAGCAGAUUUAAUAGAAAAAUGUCCAGAUUGAGUGGUAGGUUUGACCACAGAGUUUUAAUUUUUCAUUUUCAUGAAUAGUAUUUUAAUGGGGCCUGAAAUGUUGGGCUUUAGGCCCAUUGAAACAAAGUAUGUAGCCCACUAGCCCUUCUAUUUAUAACGUGAGGACACAACAGACGUCAGAAGUUGAGUUCAGAACUCAACCAGUUUGUACUCUUCUUAUCUUCCUUUUCCGUGCGAGCAUGGCCAGACCGGCGUCCUCCGUUCGCGGCAGCUCGGUCGUCGGCGACAGGCCUUCGACGCAUCUCGGAGAUGCGCACCACCAGAUCUCUGCCGCCUUGCGGAAGAAACUUUCAAGUUCGAGGAUGGUCCUGUUGAUUGGUCUGGUUUCGAUUCCCUAUAGACGGAUGGAGAAGAAACUGAAUCGAGAAAAGAAGAGGCGGAGGCCGACGGAGAGAAGAAGCUGAGGCUGCGAGGGUGAGAGUUUGUGGAUCUGACUGCCCCUUAGCCGUCAGAUUAAGCUUGAGCCACGCCCAACCGUUCGAUUACGCCUAAUCAACGGGUAACUGUUCGAUGCGCUCAGCCCUCCGAUUAAAUCCGAGCAUUCCAGCUCCGUCUUGUGGUGAGCACCACCUGAUCGCUACCAAGUUGGGCUUUGGGCUUAUGGGUUAUAUAUGGUGACUCUAUUGCGAUCACACCCCCACUCUCUACUUCGUCGCGCUCCCACCCUAAAACCCUAGAAAAGUUUAAGCUUCAUCCAUGGCGUCACUGCAGAAUUUGGAGUCCUCCAUGCUAUCAUCCAUGGCUUCUGUACUACAAUCCAAGCAGGUAAUUCACUUCACUUCACUACUCUCACACUUAUCUCACAAUUCUAUCACAACUGAGCUGAUUAAACGAGCUUUUACUGCCAAAAUUCAAACCGUAAUCUGGUAAAGUACGUCACUCAGAUAAUAAUAUGAACACUAGUUGUUGUUUUACUGCUGCUAUUUAGAUGAGUUGCCUUUUGCUUAAAAUUGUUUUAUCAUAGUUUGUGAACAAAUAGGUUAUGAUUGAUCUAGUGCACUGUAUUAUCUUUGGAAUUUGCAGAGGUAUGAGAGUUUCGAAACUGAUCUCGAAUCAUCAUGUCAAACUUUUUGAUCUAGUAUCUGAGAACUUAACACUAGGUUCGAUGAGAUUCGGACUCAGUUUGACAGAGACUUGGAUGCAUUUCUGAAUCAUUCAAAAGCGUAUCACAAUGAGCUUAAUGUUUACAAUGACAGAGCUGAGAGCAAACGCUUAAGUUCUGAUGGCAAUGAGGCAAUCCACUUUGAAGAGUAUUCUAAACUCUUCAAAAGUUAUCAGGAGGUAUUUGAGGAGUAUAAGUCUACAUUCUUGUCCUCAAAGGACUUCUAUCUGAAGUUGGAUGCAGUUGUCAACAAGCUUGCUAGAAACUACUGGCCUCAGGGCAAUGUUGGUCUCUAGGUAUGUAAUUUGUUCAGUUUGUUUUUUGAAUUGUUUGGUUUAUUGCUAUUAUGCUUUAUACAUUGGGUUUUGUUGAUAGUAUAGGGCCUUUGUUAAUUUUUCUUUUCUUGUCCGUAGUUGUUUCUUGUUGUUGUUGUUGUAUGUGCUAUUGUGUUUGGCUUUGCGUGAGUUAUGAUUCCCCAAGGCCCUGUUUGGUCUUGGCCCCUGAAUGUCAUUCUUUGUGUAUUCUUGUGUAACCUAGUAAGACUGAGGUUGCUUAUUCACUGAACCAACAAGUCCAUAAAAGGAGAGAUGUGGAGGUAAUUGCUGGUUGAUAGGAUUUUUUAUAUGGAUCUCGAUGAACACUCUUUUACCUAUAAUGCCAGUUUCCAUUUAUUUCCUCCUCUUAGUUUCCUCAUUCUUUCUCUGAUCUUUUGUUAACUCUGCUCUUGUGAAACAAAUUAAUAAGAGAAAGGGGAAGGUAGAUAGAGCCCAAGGAAGUUUUGGAGUAUUGGUGGCUAUUUAAGAGAUGAAAAGACCCGUUCUUUCCAUGAACAGCUUCUGUUCCCUAUGCCUCCUGUCCCCCAUGAUUUCCUCUGGUUCCUCCCUUUCCUUCUUCUUUCUGUAACUCUGCUUCUGACAAGUUAGGUAGCUUCUUCUCUCUUGAUCUAUUUAUCAUCUUCAUAUGUUCGGCUUGUUAUUAGUAUAUGAGAUGAGCUUUGUUGAUGCAGCAAACCUACUGCGUAGAUACCAGGAUCAACAAGCUCUAAAGCUUAGGGUUUUAAACACACACAAAACACUUUGAUUUGGGAAUCACUCCCUGGUUUCUCACCAAAUCUAGGCUUCUCACCCAGAACUAGGCUUCUCGCCAAUCCUAUCACAUGAAAACUCAGAAAAUACUCUGAUAAUUCUAUAGCAUACCUGGGUAUUAGGCCCUUACCAUGGACUGCACUAAAGACUCUUAAAGACUCUUCUAAAACUGAAGCAUUAAAGACUCAUUAGGACUCUCUACUGAAACUGAUGCAUUUGAGACUAACUUAAAGAGUCCUUAAGACUUCUAAACUGAAAUGGAAAUAUGAAAAGACACAGGCAGCUUAGAGACUUCAGGAAUCAGACUUUGUUUCCCUCCCAGGUGCAAUAAUUAUCUUGACUGAUUAGGUGCUUUCUCCUUCCAUUUGUUUCGCUCAUAAACCUUGAAAGGUUUGACUAAGAUGUCCUCAUCAUUUGUUCAAAACCCUUAUUCUUGUGUGUGAAAUAAGCUUGUUAUUGAUGACCCACUUUGAUAUAUCAAGGUUUAACAGUUGAUACAUACAUAAGGGUUGUCCACUGCUGUUUUUACUUGUCUGGGAUUGUAGCUUAACUUUCCCUUCUGGGUAAAUCGUUUAUGUGCACAACUCAAAUGAAAUAGAAGCUAGAGAGACUCUGAGAAGAACUCAUUGGGAUAAAUUUCAAACCAAACUUGAUAAUAUAUAGAUUUGAUAUAAAAUGUGGAGACUAGGUAGAGUAAAUGUUAUCUGAAAUGGUGGAUGAACUUGGAUUUGAAAGAAAAACACUGUGUGUGAACUUUUACUCUGCUUAUGACAGUCUGAGAAGACUGAUUUAUAUUUUACACAAUGCUAGAGUUUGGUAGAAUUCAAGGCAAAAUAGUAGCUGAUAAAUUUUUUUAACUUAUAGCUCUCUGACCAGUUCUGUGGUCCUUUAUAUUUUGAAAGGUUUCAAGACUGCAUCAAAUAUUUGCACCUAACGGCAUCUCUGUUGUGCAAAAUACAAAUUAGUGAUUAGCUAUAAAGGUAGCCGCUACUCUAGUUGAUCCAUUAGUAUAUCCAUGCAUGUAUGUAAUUUCUGAAGAGAUGUUGGUGGCAUUGUGGCUUUGAGAUUAUGUAUGUUUAAUUGGUUUCAGAUACAUGCAAUGAUGCAAGAACGGGAAGUUGAGCAAGUAAUUGAAUUUCUGCAGUCCCUUGUUUCCCAAAUCAAAUCUUCAUAGUUUUAUUUUCAUUGGUCAAGUCUUCAUAGUUUCAUAUCACUGGCUCGAGUAGUUUAAGUUUUAUGUUCCUUUCAUUUUUUCCUGUUCUCAGUUUCAUACUUUGUUAUUUAUAUUUUAAAUUUGUCUAUAGGGAGAUGAAGGCAUAAAAUCCGCAAUGAAGGAGCACAGCAUCAAUUUUCAAGUCCUGGAGCUGCAUUCUGCAUGGUGCUGUCUUUAUUAUGUUUUCUUUUCUAAUCUUGUUGAACUGUUGAGAUGGUGAGAAUUAUUAGCUUAAAAUUGUGAUUGAAUUUAACCGGUACAGCAGAUGUGCUUGCUUAUUAUUCUGUUUGUCAUAAUGUGUUUCCAGUUUGCGUAUUAGGCUGUCAUAUACAGCAGCUCUUCUAUUAUACAUUUUGUUUUUUGACAACUGAACAAGUAGAGAUUAAUUGUCUACUGCGAACUCAUACAAUGAAACAGUGCAAAUAUUGUACUCUUAGGCACUCGUUGCCUGAGAGGCUAUUCCAUGUGGUUUUAGUCGUUUCGUAAACAAACAAAAAAUAAUAAAAAUUGACGUGAAGCCAGUAAAAAGUGCUUUUCUCAUCAGAAAAAUUGACGUGAAGCCACUUUUCUCAUCACAAAACCACUGAGAAAAGUGCUUCUAUAUUGCAGUAAUCACUUUUAAAUAAAGGCAGUACUCGAAGCAAUGCCAAACAAGCUGCAACAUGCAAGCUUCUUUACAACGAGUUUUACACAACACCCGACCAAGAGCACGUAGUUACAUAAGGAAAUAAGACCUUUCCCGUGUUUGGGUGAACAGGGUUUGGAUUAGUCCCAAACAAAUGGCUUUCGGGAUUUUGCAUGAUUUGAGAGCAUAUAUUGAAAACCAUUGGCCUAAUGAAAAGACUCAAAUGAGAAUAUCCUAUAGAGCAGAAUUUGGAUGAGAAGAUAUAAGAAAAGAAAAUGCAGAACCAGAGGCGGUAUCAGACACGAAAAGUUUCUCCAUGAAUUUUGAAGUGAUAAGGUGUGUUGUAAUCUUUCACAAAAAACUCUCCUAAACUGGUAAACAGGCGAAAUACCUCCAUCAUACAAUACUUUGAAAUCGGUGUUUUACACGACUAUUGAGGGAAAUUAUCAAAAAUAGACUUGCUUGAGAAAAUUGGUUAAGAC